rnacentral:rRNA from 1 species
GUCCUCUAAAUAAGGACUAGUAUGAAUGGCACCACGAGGGUUUAACUGUCUCCCCCCUUUAAUCAAUGAAAUUAAUCUUCCCGUGAAAAAGCGGAAAUAAAAUUAUAAGACGAAAAGACCCCAUGGAGCUUUAAACUUAUUAUCACUUGUCUUAACUUUACAGCAAUUCAUAUGAUAAAGAUGCUCUUAAAUAGUUUUCGGUUGGGGCGACCCUGGAGAAAAAUAAAUCCUCCAGAUUGAAAAGCAAAACCCUUAUAUAAGAACUACAAUUCAAAUAAACAAAAAUUUGACAAAACUGACCCAGAACUAACUGAUCAGUGAACCAAGUUACCCUGGGGAUAACAGCGCAAUCCAUUUUAAGAGCCCUUAUCGACAAAUGGGCUUACGACCUCGAUGUUGGAUUAGGGUAUCCUAGCAGCGCAGCAGUUGCUAAA